UACGUAGGUGGCGAACGUUAUCCGGAAUUACUGGGCGUAAAGGGUCUGUAGGCGGUCUGAAAGGUCUGGCGUGACAGUUCUCGGCUUAACUGAGAGAGUGCGUUGGAAACCGGUAGACUAGAAUCACGUCGAGGUCGGUGGAAUUCCCGGUGUAGUGGUGGAAUGCGUAGAGAUCGGGAGGAACCCCUAAAGCGAAGGCAGCCGGCUAGACGAUGAUUGACACUGAGGCACGAAAGCGUGGGGAGCAAACAGG
rnacentral:rRNA from 1 species